CCCUUAGAUGUUCUGGGCGGCCCGCGCACUACAAUGGCGUGUGCAGCGGGUGCCGAAGUAGAGUUUUCCGAGGUAUUCUUGCAAUGCUCGUUUUGAUGGGGAUAGACCCUUGCAACUGUUGGUUUUGAACGAGGAAUUCCUUGUAAGCAUGGUUUAUCAUCCGACGCUGAAUGCGUCCCUGCCCUUUGUACACACCGCCCGUCGCUCCUACCGAUGAGUCGUCCGGUGAAGUUCGUAGACCUCGUGAUCGCGGAUCACUGGGGGAAGCAAAAUGAACCUCGCGGUUUAGAGGAAGGAGAAGUCGUAACA
rnacentral:rRNA from 1 species